AAUAUUGCGCAAUGGGCGAAAGCCUGACGCAGCCACGCCGCGUGAGCGAUGAAGGUCUUCGGAUCGUAAAGCUCUGUGGGGAGAGACGAAGAAAGUCGGUGAAGAGCCGACCUUGACGGUAUCCCCUUAGCAAGCACCGGCUAACUCCGUGCCAGCAGCCGCGGUAAAACGGAGGGUGCAAACGUUGCUCGGAAUCAUUGGGCGUAAAGCGCACGUAGGCGGUGGCGUAAGCGGGAUGUGAAAGCCCAGAGCUCAACUCUGGAAGUGCAUCCCGAACUGCGUCGCUUGAAUCUCGGAGGGGGACAGAGAAUUCCCGGUGUAGAGGUGAAAUUCGUAGAUAUCGGGAGGAAUACCAGUGGCGAAGGCGCUGUCCUGGACGAAGAUUGACGCUGAGGUGCGAAAGCGUGGGGAGCAAACAGG
rnacentral:rRNA from 1 species